rnacentral:rRNA from 1 species
UGGUCCUACGGGGGGCAGCAGUGGGGGAUAUUGCACAAUGGGGGGAACCCUGAUGCAGCGACGCCGCGUGGGUGAAGAAGCGCCUCGGCGCGUAAAGCCCUGUCAGCAGGGAAGAAAAUGACGGUACCUGAAGAAGAAGCCCCGGCUAACUACGUGCCAGCAGCCGCGGUAAUACGUAGGGGGCAAGCGUUAUCCGGAUUUACUGGGUGUAAAGGGAGCGUAGACGGCCAGACAAGUCAGAUGUGAAAGCCCAGGGCUCAACCCUGGGACUGCUUUUGA